CCCUAGUAACGGCGAGUGAAGCGGGAAGAGCUCAAAUUUGAAAGCUGUUGCCUUUGGUAACCGCAUUGUAAUCUCGAGAUCUGUUUUCCGCGCUGGACCAUGUACAAGUCCCUUGGAAUAGGGCGUCAUAGAGGGUGAGAAUCCCGUACUUGACAUGGACUCCCAGUGCUUUGUGAUACAGGCUCAACGAGUCGAGUUGUUUGGGAAUGCAGCUCAAAAUGGGUGGUAAAUUCCAUCUAAAGCUAAAUAUUGGGGAGAGACCGAUAGCGAACAAGUACCGUGAGGGAAAGAUGAAAAGCACUUUGGAAAGAGAGUUAAACAGUACGUGAAAUUGUCAAAAGGGAACCGUUUGAAGUUAGUCAUGCUUGCCUGGACUCAGCCUUGCUUUUGCUUGGUGCAUUUCCAGGUACGCAGGUCAGCAUCGGUUUUGACUGCUGGAUAAGGGUGAGAGGAAUGUGGCACCCUCGGGUGUGUUAUAGCCUUUCACUGGAUGCAGCAGUUGGGACCGAGGAACGCAGCGCGCCUUUAUGGCGGACCUUCGGGUACCUUCGCGCUUAGGAUGCU
rnacentral:rRNA from 1 species